AAUCAUGUAACGAAAGAAAGCGUUACAAAUUGAUUCAAUUAUAUAAUAGUGUUUUCAAAUACAAGAUGAGUUUACGACACGGUUGACUUUCUUGCUGUUUUUUUCCAACGUGCAUGCGCUUCUUGUGUACGCUAUACACUUUUUUUCACAGAAUUGGUUGCCAAAACUGCUCUAUCUUGACGUUAUUUGAGUGAACAAAACGUCUUUAGUCGAGAUAUUCAGAUUAAUCCUUUCCCUUUCGUGCCUCUAAUCGCCAACAAAAGUUCUGAUGAAUGGCACAAGACAGAAAAAUUAUUCUUCCUAAUACGGAAAAAUGGUACUGUUGAAAGUGUUCCUUGUUAUUACAAAAUAUUAAUAUUCGACCUAUUCUUUUCCAUUGACAAUUAUGACAUUCAUUUUGUAUGAAUAGCAAAAGGAAAGGCGCCUAAGUUACGACAACAUUGCUUACUCAUAAAGGGCCGCUGUUUUGAAGACGCCCGCGUAUAGUCAGAGAGAACAUUCCUUAGAUGACGUCACAGAUGUUACGCCUGGUAAACAGAAUGGCUGGGAAGCUGAUUUUGAUGUUAAAUGCAACAAAAUCUGUGCAAAUUAUAAUACAACUUUGUUUACAAAUGGAAAGGAAAUGUAAUGAGUCAUGGAUUUGUCAAUCCUAUCCUGUCGUUCAUUUUAUAUGAACUCCGAAAACCAUCAUUCAUGGAAAACAUCUAGAGCACAAAUUGUAUAAUUUGACGACACUUUUCCUGGUAAUAUUUCUCAAAAUAAGUUGCACACCUUAGCUGUUUUCGAGGAAAGUGUAUUCAAUACCGGGAAAUAAUAAAUCUUAAAAAAAUCUUUAACUUAAGUGAUACAAUAGAAAGAUACUGGUCUUCACCAUAUUUUCAUAACACAAUUCUGGAUAUUUUAUUUACUACUUAGGCAAGUCAAACAUUUAUGCUUUGGUUACUGAAGUGCACGCCAACGAGGUGUUUAGAGCAGCUGUGUGAAACAAAAUACGAAUUGCUUUUCUACAAUCUAUAAUACCUGUGCAUUGGACAAAUUAUAGGAUUUACAGUACAAUUAUCGCAUAACAAUGGUAGAUUUCACAACUCCCCCUUCUUAAUACGAGAGUAAAUUCUAGCGUUGGAAAAAAUAUCAAGUUGUAUUUUUUAUGUUCAUAAAGUAUCAGCUCCUUCGACAAACUAUGAGUGGCUUCACUGACUUGGUCGUCCUCAAAACUAGAGAGUCACCUACCUGCUCUGCGAAACAGUCUUCAUAAUAAUGUAGUACUUUAUAAAUGAUGCGCUAGCAUUUUGGAAACUUGCAGAGCUUGAAAUUAUACUUUCCUUGUCGCUAAUAAUGAUAAAAUUGUGUCUAAAUAGCCCAUUCAGUCUUUUGUAAACGAAAUUUAUUCAAUAGAACAAUGCACCGACGGUGAAAAUAGAUAUGUAGUUCAAACUAAGUCAUUAAUGUUAUGUAUAGCAUCGUAUUGCUGAAAAUGGAAAUAUGAUCUUAUUUUUUAAAUUAUAAAACUUGACUUACACCACAAUCGACUUACACAUAAAUGUCAAUUUUAUUUAGUGUAUUUAGAAACCAACAUUUUGACUACACGCAGUAUAUAAUAUAAAUACCUUUGUAUUGUGUUGCGUUUAUAUAAAUUAAUUCCCUUUUACGGAUAAGUGUUGUAUGGGCGGCUGCACUCUUUUAAUGUAACUUAUCCUCUUUUUUGUUUCUCGGUAUUAAGUUUGUUUUAAAAUAUUACAAGUGCGUAUUUAAAAAGUUAAUGCAGCUGUAUCAAAUUUAAAAAAUCAGGUAAGGAUAAUCAGCAAAUAUAUAUACCAUACGAUCGUAAAUGUAGUGUACGUUUAUAUGUUCAGUUUUCACUAAUGACUUUCGCUUUAUCUCUCACGCCCUCGUGAUGAUGCAUAACAUCAGAGAUGAGAUGUGACUUGUUUCACAGUCUGACUUGUUUCACAAUCGACCAUAAACAAACUAGUAUAAACCAAGGAAGUAAUUUAAUAGAAGAUAUAUCCGGAAAAUCAUUCAUUUAAACGAAUUCAUUCAGUUUAAGCAGAAAAGUGCAAUCUUAUUUCCACAUUAUAACCUCGUCGAAUAUUUUUUAUUUCAAUAAAGAAAGGAUUAAAACUGAUACAGGAAUGCAAAUCUGAAGAAUUUGGGCUACCAAGCAAUAUAUAAUAUUAAGAAGGUGCUUUCUUGGAACCGGACCAUUCUUAUUGGAUAUUUGUCAUUAUUUCUAAAUAUAAAUCUAUUUGAAAAAUAAAAAAACAAAGUUUGAUUUUCUUGGAAACUAAUACACGAAUACGAUGAGAAACUAAAAAUUGGGAUAGGAAUUGCCUAUAAAAGGAAACUUUGUUGACUACAUUAUCAUCUUUUCGCCCUUGUACAACAAACAUACGGUUACCGAACAAAAUGGCAGACUUACUGCGUGGUCUGAAGUUGACAAAUAAAGGAAAGAAAGAUACCGUUACUGUUUCUUGGAAACAAGGCAGUUUUAUUGGUUUUGGAGGGGACCGGACUCAGGUCUACGAACUGUAUGAAUAUGAAACGCCACAAGGAAGUCUUCUUCUCGUGUACAUACAAAAAGAUUUUGACACACCCGACAUACUCGUCUGCGACGGGCGUAUCCAGUAUGGAAUGAACAACGGAGUGCUCUUUCUGGUGUAUCAUGACAAGGAGCAGAAACCCUAUCAACAUCGCUUCGUUUCCAAUCAGAUGCAAAAGGCGGCAUAUCUAGUAAACGAACUGGUAAAAAAGCAGGCAUACGGCCUUGACCUGUUAUGGGUAGCUGGAGACUAUCUUCGUGAUAUAUGAGCAAUUGUUUUCUCACGCUCGGUUCCAUGAACUGUUACAUACGGUGACUUAAUAUAUUCGUCUCAAUACGAAAAGCAUGAUAUCAUGAAACAUCAGUAAACGUAUUUACUAUCUACCUUUUAAGAAAACAUUAAAAUUUGUGAUUUAUUCAUGAUGAAUUAUUUAUAUUUCAGCUUCAUCAUUAGUUCAUCAAAUAGCUCUAAUUGUACUUUAAAGUAUUGUGGAUAUAACUAUUUCACCUAUGAAAAAUAUAAACUGUAGAAACUACCACAAAUAAAAAAUAACAGAACUGUAA